rnacentral:rRNA from 1 species
AUUGAACGCUGGCGGCAUGCCUUACACAUGCAAGUCGAACGGCAGCACGGGUGCUUGCACCUGGUGGCGAGUGGCGAACGGGUGAGUAAUACAUCGGAACAUGUCCUGUAGUGGGGGAUAGCCCGGCGAAAGCCGGAUUAAUACCGCAUACGAUCCACGGAUGAAAGCGGGGGCCCUUCGGGCCUCGCGCUAUAGGGUUGGCCGAUGGCUGAUUAGCUAGUUGGUGGGGUAAAGGCCUACCAAGGCGACGAUCAGUAGCUGGUCUGAGAGGACGACCAGCCACACUGGGACUGAGACACGGCCCAGACUCCUACGGGAGGCAGCAGUGGGGAAUUUUGGACAAUGGGCGAAAGCCUGAUCCAGCAAUGCCGCGUGUGUGAAGAAGGACUUCGGGUUGUAAAGCACUUUUAUCCGGAAAGAAAUCCUUGACUCUAAUACAGUCGGGGGAUGACGGUACCGGAAGAAUAAGCACCGGCUAACUACGUG